GGGAGCUCUCCCAUAUGGUCGACCUGCAGGCGGCCGCGAAUUCACUAGUGAUUAGAGUUUGAUCCUGGCUCAGGUCGUAACAAGGUAGCCGUGUUUGAUCCUGGCUCAAGUCGUAACAAGGUAGCAAUCGAAUUCCCGCGGCCGCCAUGGCGGCCGGGAGCAUGCGACGUCGGGCCCAAUUCGCCCUAUAGUGAGUCGUAUUACAAUUCACUGGCCGUCGUUUUACAACGUCGUGACUGGGAAAACCCUGGCGUUACCCAACUUAAUCGCCUUGCAGCACAUCCCCCUUUCGCCAGCUGGCGUAAUAGCGAAGAGGCCCGCACCGAUCGCCCUUCCCAACAGUUGCGCAGCCUGAAUGGCGAAUGGACGCGCCCUGUAGCGGCGCAUUAAGCGCGGCGGGUGUGGUGGUUACGCGCAGCGUGACCGCUACACUUGCCAGCGCCCUAGCGCCCGCUCCUUUCGCUUUCUUCCCUUCCUUUCUCGCCACGUUCGCCGGCUUUCCCCGUCAAGCUCUAAAUCGGGGGCUCCCUUUAGGGUUCCGAUUUAGUGCUUUACGGCACCUCGACCCCAAAAAACUUGAUUAGGGUGAUGGUUCACGUAGUGGGCCAUCGCCCUGAUAGACGGUUUUUCGCCCUUUGACNUUGGANUCCACGUUCUUUAAUAGUGGACUCUUGUUCCAAACUGGAACAACACUCAACCCUAUCUCGNUCUAUUCUUUUGAUUUAUAANGNAUUUUGCCGAUUUCGGCCUAUUGGGUUAAAAAAUGAGCUGAUUUAACAAAAAUUUAACGCNANNUUUAACAAAAUAUUAACGNNUUANNUUUCCUGAUGCGNUAUUUUCUCCNUACGCAUCNNGCGNAUUUCACACCNCNNNGUGGCACUUUUCGGNAAAUGUGCG
rnacentral:rRNA from 1 species